rnacentral:siRNA from 1 species
UAGAUUUUCGAUAUAAAUGUGA